GUUCAGCCAGAGGUGGCGACCGGUGGCAGCAACAGGUGCUUUUUUCGGAAAAGCUUUGCUUAUUCACCAGAAUCGGCUUUUGCCGCUGGCUAAUUACAGCCUCAGCUACAUCAUAUAGUGAAUAAAUGAACUCAUGAGGAAGGAACAAUCUGGCAAGCCUACAAAAGCUACAAAUAAAUACUACAAAAACUCAAGCAAAGAUGAUCUAGUUUUAAGGGCGACACUGGACUCAAUUACUAGAAUUGGAUAAAAUUGCAAUCCGGUGAU